GACGAACGCUGGCGGCGUGCCUAAUACAUGCAAGUAGAACGCUGAAGGAGGAGCUUGCUUCUCUGGAUGAGUUGCGAACGGGUGAGUAACGCGUAGGUAACCUGCCUGGUAGCGGGGGAUAACUAUUGGAAACGAUAGCUAAUACCGCAUAAGAGUAGAUGUCGCAUGACAUUUGCUUAAAAGGUGCAAUUGCAUCACUACCAGAUGGACCUGCGUUGUAUUAGCUAGUUGGUGAGGUAACGGCUCACCAAGGCAACGAUACAUAGCCGACCUGAGAGGGUGAUCGGCCACACUGGGACUGAGACACGGCCCAGACUCCUACGGGAGGCAGCAGUAGGGAAUCUUCGGCAAUGGACGGAAGUCUGACCGAGCAACGCCGCGUGAGUGAAGAAGGUUUUCGGAUCGUAAAGCUCUGUUGUAAGAGAAGAACGGGUGUGAGAGUGGAAAGUUCACACUGUGACGGUAUCUUACCAGAAAGGGACGGCUAACUACGUG
rnacentral:rRNA from 1 species